rnacentral:lncRNA from 1 species
UGACAAGUGAGUGAGCAGCAGCAUACAGAGAGCAGGCGCAGGGUCUGAGGUGCUGGGGCAGCCACUAUAGUCGUAGAAACCCAAGCUCCUAAAGCAACUGUUUCUGUGGCAUGCCAUUAACACCUGGGAAGUGACAAGUUAAUAGGAAAGGUGCAUGCUCAAGGGAGAAUGUGAUGAUGGGGAACUACGGAACUGCAUGAACUAGUUGGAAUACUGCUGGGGAGCCCCCUGCCCUCAUCAGGCAGCUGGUUAUCACACUGGUGAUGCUUAAUCGGCACAGGAACCACCUUGAAGAAGCAAAGAGCAAGCUCACCCACCACACUUCCUUUUAGGAAAUGUUACCCUAAAACUGCCACUCUGGAGCAGGCAGAAAGGAGCGAGGAGGUCGCAAUGGUUGGACUCUGGAAGUGGACAAACCUAAGUUGGAAAUCCCAAUGCCCCACUGUUUCAGCAAGAUGUGAAAUUACUUGUAUUAGUAAGAAUUUAUUGGUUGCAUGUGAUAGACACACAAGUUAGCAUAAGUGAAAAGGGUCAAUUUAAUGUAAAGAUAUAGGGCUGCUCUUAAUACCGGAGGGCAGGAAGGUGUCCAGGUCUCAGGAAGGACCAGGACCAGGUGAGGAAACUGAGACACAGGGAAAUAAGAAACUUGCUCAGAUUCAGGCACCCUAAAUUUUGCGAAGGACACCAUUGCCCAGUUUGAUAUGAGACAUGAACAGCAGAGUACAACCAGGCGAAGACUAGGAGAACCUGGAACAUGCAAGAGGAAGAAUAAUUUAUUACAAACAAGAAUAAAGCAAGUAGCUGUCAGUAUUGGGCAUCUAGUCCGUGCUACAUACUUUAUAUCUGUGCUCACGUUUAAUCCUCACAAGAACUCUAUGUUGUAGGUUGUGUUAUCUCCAAUUUACCAACGAGGGAACUGAGAUCCAGUGAUCUCAAGUAAUGUGCCUUAAAGUUGCACAGCUGGUAAAUGACAAAUUUGGGACGCCACACACUUUGGAGUGACCCCAACGUCUGUUCUCUUUCCAUGUACAACCCUCUGCCUCUACACCCAUCUCUCUAAGUAAUACAUGUCCCAUUUAGAAAGAGCUACCUUGCACAGUGUUUAGCAUGGCAAGGCCAUGGAGAGGGCAGGAAUCGAGGGCACUGACCAAGGGCCACCUGACUGGAGGGCAGGGGUGUUUCCACACCCUGAGUGCUCUCAGCCUCUGGGACUGUGGCCCUGACUCCGCAUUUCUCCAUCCCACCGAGACCACCACCCCAUUCUUUAUGACCUCUAACGGGGCCUUAAGAUGCUGCUCACCAUGUCCACUGCGAG